CAGAGAAAGAGCAGGUAAAGUUGUGCAUGAUGGGCAAAGGAAUCUCCUGAGAUACUUCAGAGGGACCAGGACUGGAGUGAACAGCUGCAUUCAAGGGAGACUGAUUGCUCAGCCUCCACUCAAGAGGCUGCCCCAGGAGCAAUUAGGAGUUAGGAAUUAAGAGACUGACCAUGUCUAAUUGAGCAAAGCUGAGAGAGACCUACAUCAGAGGAGUGGAAUGAUGGACAAGCCAGUGUGGGAAGCAGAGAGCAUUAGUGGUUCCUGAGGCUUUCUCUCCCUACGUUGCCAUUGUGGUGAAUGGGCAGAGCUCUGGCUAAUCUUUUCCCUCCCAGUUUCUUCUUGAAGCUUGUGACUUCACCCCUCCUCCCUGAGUGGACUAUGAAGAUACUCUUGUUUUCUUUCUCAGAAUAGAUUCUCUCUGUGACAGAUUGAUUCUGUGGCCUUGACUUCCCAGAAGCCCUGUAAAAUCCUUGGAUGAGUGCUCAUGGGGAGAAGUUCUGGAGCCCUUGUCCCGACCAUUGGUCCCCAUCAGCUUGCUCCACUGGAGAAGGGAGGAGUAUGGUGGAAUGCACAUGAAUGCCAAAUUCCCUUUUCAUAUACCGAGAAGGAUUCUCCUCUAAAGAAAAUGGACAAGAAUGCUACCUACUCCCAUAGUUUUGCCUAUCUCACAGAGGAUGCUUCUCUUAAGAGUGGAAAGAUCCAUCACCAGAGUAGAUGCUUUCUCUUUAUUCCAUCUGGUUAUGACAAGAAGACCAUUGGAUCUUAGCACUAAAACUCUGCAGAUAUUACAACCUGAUAUUCCUCUGCCUACCAGACAGAUUGAUGCUUUCAUCUGAUCUACUGAAUGCAGCCUUCAGACUUAGGGGCUCCUUCAUACACCCUGCUGAUGCUCUGUUGAGACUUCUGGCCCUCUCCAUCCACCCUAGAGCUGAAUGUUCACUUAUGUAUUAACUCCUUUGAUUAGACUGUAAGCUUCUUAAGAGUCAACAUGAUCUUGCCUUUCUUCUUUUUAUUUUGAUCCUUGGUACUUAGCACAGUGCUUGGCACAUAAUAAACACUUAAUAAACUUAAUAAAUGUUGCA
rnacentral:lncRNA from 1 species